CAUGAUUCUUCCCUAAGGAUGGCUGCAAAGGGGGUAAUCAGAGAAGUUGUGGACUGGGGCAAAUCCCGUGGUUACUUCUACAAAAGGUUGCGUAGGAGAAUUGCUGAGGAUUCACUGAUCAAGACUCUGGAAGACGCAGCUGGUGACCAUCUGUCAUAUAAAUCUGCGAUGGACUUGAUCAGAAAGUGGUUUUUAGAUUCAGAUAUUGCCGGAGGCAGAGAAGACUCUUGGGGGGAUGAUGAAGCUUUCUUUGCGUGGAAGGAUCAUCCAAGAAAUUAUGAAGAAAAGUUACAAGAAUUGAGGGUCCAGAAGGUAUUGCAUCAAUUAACAAGCAUUGGUGAAUCCAGAUUAGAUUUGAAAGCUCUACCUCAAGGUCUUGCUGCCCUUCUAAGAAAGGUGGACCCAUCAAGCCGAGGGCAACUGAUUGAUGAGCUUCGUAAGGUGCUUAAUUGAUUCGUGGUAUGCCCUUUAAAAGUAAAUAUGGUUCUGCACCCACUUUCGGCUCUAGUUCCAUUCAACUGGGAAAGAAAUAUAUUUACAUCUCCAGUGCUAUUUGCGUACCCUCUGCAGCUGUAUUUUAUCAACCAAGAGGAAACCUCACUUGUAAAUUGGAGGAGGAUCUCACGUCACGGGUCCCUUUCAUGACUGCACGAAGUGUAAAUGUUGGUAUGAUCUUUGGGUGAACUGGGAGAAGAUUUCCGUUGUUAAUAGGGGAAAUUGGCCACCAUUGGAAGCCUAUGCCCUCCAUGGCUGUUCUUCGGCUUGUUAGUGAUUAUUUUUGUAAUAAUC
rnacentral:misc_RNA from 1 species